rnacentral:rRNA from 1 species
GAUGAACGCUAGCGGCAGGCCUAACACAUGCAAGUCGAGGGGCAGCACGAUAAAGCUUGCUUUAUUGGUGGCGACCGGCGCACGGGUGCGUAACGCGUAUGCAACCUAACUUAUACUGGGGUAUAGCCCGGAGAAAUUCGGAUUAAUACCCCAUAGUAUUAUCGAUUCGCAUGUUUUGAUAAUUAAAGGUUACGGUAUAAGAUGGGCAUGCGUCCCAUUAGCUAGAUGGUGAGGUAACGGCUCACCAUGGCGACGAUGGGUAGGGGGCGUGAGAGGGUGGUCCCCCACACUGGUACUGGGACACGGACCAGACUCCUACGGGAGGCAGCAGUGAGGAAUAUUGGUCAAUGGGCGCAAGCCUGAACCAGCCAUGCCGCGUGCAGGAAGACGGUCCUAUGGAUUGUAAACUGCUUUUAUUCGGGAAUAAACCUCCUUACGUGUAGGGAGCUGAAGGUACCGAAUGAAUAAGCACCGGCUAACUCCGUGCCAGCAGCCGCGGUAAAAC